AUUUAGGUGAGAUAAGGUUGUAGGUUGGCUAGGUCAUGCUGGCCUGAGUAUCAUGGGAUUUUAAACUAAAUGUAAAUGAAAUAGGCCGUUAUCUUUCUUGAACUAAAUGAUCCCCUUCCAUUUCUUUCACAUAAAACAUAUGAGUUUAGAAGGGUUUUAUUUUUUUCUCUAAAUUAUGUAAUCAGGUACAAAAACACUUUGAUUCACUGCCUGUUUCAUCAAGGCCAGUUUUUUUAAAGAAAGUGGCGUUUAUUCCAUUAAUUAUACCAAAAGGUUCAAAUUAGUCUGAAGAUUGAUAACUCAAGGCAAACCAUUUAUCAAAUUGAUUGUAAAUGUAAAUUUUCUUUUAAAUAAUACAUAAAUGAAUAAAACAUAUACAGGCGGUCAGUCUGUGGAUUAUGGUGAGCCCUUUCCGAUUACAAGUUAAUUAACUUAUAGCCGUAGGUGACGAAAGCGAAUAAGUCUUUGAAUCAUUGAACCGAUUCGUUCAAAUCACUGAUUCAUUCAGGAACGUCAAAAUUAUGUUUUGCUUGGAGACGUUCGGUUCGCUGUGGUUUUGUUUAAGAACAUUUUCGUUGGCGGAGAAUAAGGCAAUAUUGUGUUUAAAAUGUAAGCUUAACAACAUUUUAUCUACAGUUUGUUGAACUAUUGUAUAAAAGAUCAAGAUGCUGUAACACUAACAUCAGUUUAAAUUAAGGUUGGGCGGCUGUUUUUUUACCGGUGUCAGUUGUGUAAAAAUAGGAAGUUAAUGAUCCCACACUAAAAUUGGUUUAAUGUAUACGUAGGCCAAUAUUAUAUUUGACGUUCAGUUUACAUCAAAUCAACUUCAUAUCAAAUUUUUGACGUCCGUUUGAUUUGUAUAUUUGUCCUGUAUUUUGAUGUCAAUUUGAAGUCUUUUCAACAUCAGUUAACGUUACACACCUGGAUUUUCUAAUCACGCCAUUAUAUUGUUUGUUUGCCAACUUUGCAUUUGAUUUCUCACCUCAGGUUAGCAAUUUGUCUAACUGUUUUGGCAGAUCUUAUGAGAACAUGGAGAAUUAUGUGUGAAUCAGCUGUUUGGUGCUGGACGAACUGACCAGCUUCCAGCCUUCAGAAAGUACGAGUUGUGUACAAAAAGAUAAAGACAGAGAAAACAGCACUUUGGCCUUCACAGAGACUGGAAGAGACAAGUGCCUGUGGUGUUGUGUUUGGACACACCCACGGAGUGGACUCUGUUCAGCUGAAAGAAAAGGUCACAGAAAUGUCAUGCAGUCAUGUCCUUGAGACGAGGUGGAAGAGAUGCGAUUGGGCCCAGACCCGUCAUCAUCAAGGAGACAGGUGGCCAAGGAGGAAUCGGUCACUAAUGCAGUCGGCUAACUAUGUCAAGGACACAGAAGCCAAACCUGGUACAGUUCACCUGUGAGAGACCUGAGAGCACGAACGCAGAGAGGAACUGACCCACUAAACCAACUUACAACUCUACAGUCUGCACUCUUCUUUAGAUUAAAGGUAUCUGAGUGCUUGGUGGUGGGGUCAGGCAGUUCAGAGUGAAUGGGGAAGGAUGGGAUUGUGGAGAGCAGUCACAGAUAUCGGACUCUGCAUUUUCAGUGGCUGAUGAUAGCAGCUUAAAGGCUUAUAUUGUAAUAGGAAUGCCUUGAGGUUGGUUAAUCAUGCUUUGAUUUGGACUUUGAUAUUUGUUGUGGAGUACUGUUGUGUGUGUGUGUUUAUAUGUGUGCAUAUAUACGUGUGUUUCUGAUUUGGUAAUUUCAGUAUUUUGUAUGUCUUUAUUCAAAAGUGUGGCUGUUAAGAUUUUUUUUUAUGUUAUAGAAAAAAAUCUCUUUCACCAAGGCUGCAUAUAUUUAUUGACAAAUACAUUAAAACGGUAAUAUGUAAAAAUAUUUGUACAAUGUAAAAACAGUAAAAAUUUUAAUAUGAUUAUUUGCUGCACAAGAAACAUUUUGUAUAACCAUCACUGUUGAAAAUUUUUGGGGAUCAUUGUGACCAUUUAUUUCAGGUUAUUUGAAAAAAAAAAAAUAGAAUAGAAAGUU